rnacentral:rRNA from 1 species
UACGAAGGGGGCGAGCGUUGUUCGGAUUUACUGGGCGUAAAGGGCGCGCAGGCGGCUCAUUUUGUCAGGCGUGAAAGCCCCGGGCUUAACCUGGGAACUGCGUUUGAUACGGAUGGGCUAGAGUUCGGGAGAGGAGAGUGGAAUUCCCAGUGUAGAGGUGAAAUUCGUAGAUAUUGGGAAGAACACCGGUGGCGAAGGCGGCUCACUGGCUCGUAACUGACGCUCAUGCACGACAGCGUGGGGAUCAAACAGG